GCCCGGUGGCGCGGUGGUUAGCACUGUUGCCUCACAACAAGAAGGUCGUGGGCUCGAAUCCGACCUGCAGCC